ensembl:rRNA 5S_rRNA 5S ribosomal RNA
GCUUACGGCCACACCGCCUGGUUCACGCCUGAUCUCGUUUGAUUUUGGAAGCUAAGAUAGGUUGGGCCUGGUUAGUACUUGGAUGGGAGACCGCCUGGGAUUACCAGGUGCUGUAAAUU